CGGUCAGAGUCAAAUGGUCUUCAGAGCCGUUACCCCCCGCUUAUUCGGACGCCAGCUGUCUCAGCUCCCGCGGGGAUCAUAUAUAUCCCUCCCGCACUCAUACUCUCUUCUUCAGGACACAUUCUCACACUAGAACGUUCAUUGCCGAAUUCAACCGCUAGAUAAUUACCAAGCAAUCGGAGGAAGAGAGCAGAAUCGAAAGGAGUUUAUCGCCUGAUCCCGAUGAUGAAAAAUAGAGAAGAGAAGAGAACGGCGAACUCUUAUGUCAUUGCGAUUGGUUCCGAUAACAGAGUGCGGUAGAACAAAGCAGUUGCUCUUGAUGAAGCGAUUGCUUGGGCAAAAGAAAAAACAGUUGGUCCUGUCAAUUCAGGCCGGUGGGAUUUUCGCAUCUGCUAGGAAUACUGGUCAUGAUGAUGAACGAACCAUAUGAGAUAUAUACUAGUGUCUGGAUCAAUUUUUGAGACUGAUUUGAGUCUAGGGCAAAAUGGUGAAAAUCAAUUUGUUGAAAUCGAAGGACGGUCCGGUUCAUGUAAAGUUUGUUGUAAACAAUUAGGGAUGCAUGAAAUAUAACCAUACAACCCACUAAGAUGGAAAUGGAGGACAAAAGUUGAGGUCAAGGAAUCCAACUCUGGUUGCUACAUUCAACCCUCCAUCACGUAAGAAGAAAGGUCAUCCACCAUACAAGUGUUGGAGAAGACCUAACGCCUUCUACUCCAAAUGCAAUCAACUUGGACAUGAAGCCGUGAUCUGUAAAGUCAAAGAUCAGGUGAAAGAAGUAGAUGCACAGGUAGUUGAUCAAGAAGAGGAAGAAGAAGAUCAAUUGUUUGUGGCCACUUGUUUCUCAGGCAAAGAAUCAAGCGAGAGCUGGUUGAUUGACAGUGGGUGCACAAAUCAUAUGACGUAUGACAAGGAGUUUUUUGAGGAAUUAAGAGACACUGAAGUCAAGAGAGUGAGGAUUGGCAACGGUGAACACUUGGAAGUCAAAGGAAAAGGCACAGUAACUAUAACAAGUUAUGAAGACGGAGAUAGAUUGUUAGAGCCAAUAUUCUUUUUCGAAUAGCAUAAUCAAAGUUCAGUGUUGAACAGGACCGCGAAAUCCCAAAGUACUCACACAUCUUGAUUGACCCAUGGUUAGUUCCCUUUGUAUUUUGCAUUAUAUUUAUGAAUUAAUCAUCCUAGUUUUGGUAGGAUUUGAGAGUUCCAGGUUCGAUAUUUGGUGGCUAUGUCCUAUAGACUUUAUAGUGACUCGAUAAGUUGUAGUUUACAAAUAGUUAUGCCCUAACAAGUAUUAUAAUGUUUUAGUAAGCCUGAGUAAGUACUGAUAAUGUUUUGGUGGAUGGAUUGUAAGUCGUGUCAUUAAAGAGUUGAUUAGCAA